rnacentral:rRNA from 1 species
AGCAGCCGCGGUAAUUCCAGCUCCAAUAGCGUAUAUUAAAGUUGUUGCAGUUAAAAAGCUCGUAGUUGAAUUUCGGGAUUAGUACGUCGGUCGUGCCUUCGGUACGUACUGGUGUUACUGGUUCCUACCUUCUGACGAACCAUCAUGUCAUUAAUUUGGUGUGGCGGGGAAUCAGGACUGUUACUUUGAAAAAAUUAGAGUGUUUAAAGCAGGCUCGCGCUUGAAUACAUUAGCAUGGAAUAAUGAAAUAGGACGUUGACCCUAUUUUGUUGGUUUCUAGGAUUGACGUAAUGAUUAAUAGGGAUAGUUGGGGGCAUUAGUAUUCAAUUGUCAGAGGUGAAAUUCUUGGAUUUAUUGAAGACUAACUACUGCGAAAGCAUUUGCCAAGGAUGUUUUCAUUAAUCAAGAACGAAAGUUAGGGGAUCGAAGACGAUCAGAUACCGUCGUAGUCUUAACCAUAAACUAUGCCGACUAGGGAUCGGAUGAUGUUAAUUUUUAAUGACUCAUUCGGCGCCUUACG